rnacentral:rRNA from 1 species
UGGGGAAUAUUGGACAAUGGGCGCAAGCCUGAUCCAGCCAUGCCGCGUGAGUGACGAAGGUCUUCGGAUUGUAAAACUCUUUUGGCGGGGACGAUAAUGACGGUACCCGCAGAAGAAGCACCGGCUAACUCUGUGCCAGCAGCCGCGGUAAUACAGGGGGUGCGAGCGUUAAUCGGAAUUACUGGGCGUAAGGGCGCGUAGGCGGUCGAGUAAGUCGGAUGUGAAAUCCCCGGGCUUAACCUGGGAAUUGCAUUCGAUACUGCUUGGCUAGAGUGUGGAAGAGGGAAGCGGAAUUUCCGGUGUAGCGGUGAAAUGCGUAGAUAUCGGAAGGAACACCAGUGGCGAAGGCGGCUUCCUGGUCCAACACUGACGCUGAGGCGCGAAAGCGUGGGGAGCAAACAGGAUUAGAUACCCUCGUAGUCCCUGAGCGGGCUGGCAAGGCGCAU